rnacentral:rRNA from 1 species
AUUGAACGCUGGCGGCAGGCCUAACACAUGCAAGUCGAACGAGUGGCGGACGGGUGAGUAAUGUCUGGGAACCUGCCCGAUGGAGGGGGAUAACUACUGGAAACGGUAGCUAAUACCGCAUACUAUCGGAUGUGCCCAUAUGGGAUUAGCUAGUAGGUGGGGUAACGGCUCACCUAGGCGACGAUCCCUAGCUGGUCUGAGAGGAUGACCAGCCACACUGGAACUGAGACACGGUCCAGACUCCUACGGGAGGCAGCAGUGGGGAAUAUUGGACAAUGGGCGCAAGCCUGAUGCAGCCAUGCCGCGUGUAUGAAGAAGGCCUUCGGGUUGUAAAGUACUUUCGGCGGGGAAGCGUUACUGGCAGAAGAAGCACCGGCUAACUCCGUGCCAGCCGCCGCGGUAAUAC